rnacentral:rRNA from 1 species
GCAACAGCUCAAAUUUGAAAUCUGGCUUCGGCCCGAGUUGUAAUUUGUAGAGGAAACUUUUGGUGAGGCACCUUCUGAGUCCCUUGGAACAGGGCGCCAUAGAGGGUGAGAGCCCCGUAUAGUCGGAUGCCGAUCCAAUGUAAAGUUCCUUCGACGAGUCGAGUAGUUUGGGAAUGCUGCUCAAAAUGGGAGGUAAAUUUCUUCUAAAGCUAAAUAUAGGCCAGAGACCGAUAGCGCACAA